GAGGCAUCAUGCAGUACCUCUGCUGACCUGGAGGUCAGAUGGAAGCUAGCCAGGCAGGGGAGAGCACUCCAAGUAAAGGGGAGAUGGAAGGGGGUGGAUAUGUGAUGGAGUGCAGCCAUAGGAAUACACAUUUUUAAAACGUCAAUUUGGGGUCUAGAGAACUGACUUAGUCAGGAAGCACUUGUCAUGGAGGUACAAGGAGUUCGAGGCUCAGGAGCUUCACAAUAAAAGCCUGCUGUGGUAGAAAGCACUUGGAGUCCCAGUGUUGGAGAGGUAGAGGCAGGUGGAUCUCUUGGGCUUGAUCAUCAACCAGUUUAGCAUCAUCAGCAAGUGCCAGGCUCUCAACAAACAACAGCACCUGAAGAGUGGCACCUGAUUAACCUCUGCUUUCCCUUCUCACCAGCACAGUUACAGUUCAGCGGGUCAGGGAGCUUGAGCAGUCUGGCCUUGUGAUGAGAAGUCUGGGAGACUCGGGGCUUCAAUCGCUGCUCCCUUCAUCCAUGCCCUCUCCGUACUUGGCCUCCCCUGCCCUUCCAGACCUCAUUCAAAGGUUGACCUUUUUCCCCAGUUCCCUGAAGGGGAUCGAUCAGAAGUACCUCCAGGUUUGCAUGGGUGCAUUCCUCCCCACCGGUAUCUGCACCCUCCGGGAUACCCCACCACACUCUGCCUAUGACUUCCCAUGCUCCCGGCCACUGAGACUUCGAACCCACACCUUAUGCUCUGUUCAGGAGCAUCCCUGCCCAUAUCACCACAUCCCCAGCCACUUCCUCUGCACCAAUCAUCUAGCCACACAUGAGCCUGAUACUUUUCCUCCCAUCUCACUCAACCUCUGUAUUCUGGCUUACCCUCUCCCUCUCCCAGCUACUGCUUUGCCUUCUGUCCACAAAAUCUCCUGCUAGUUUCCUCUCUCAGAGAUCGUGUCAUGAAGAUGUCCAAA
rnacentral:lncRNA from 1 species